CGAAGAGGAGCCUGCGGCGGAUUAGCUAGUUGGUAAGGUAAUGGCUUACCAAGGCGAUGAUCCGUAGCCGGCCUGAGAGGGCGGUCGGCCACACUGACACUGACAUACGGGUCAGACUCCUACGGGAGGCAGCAGUCGGGAAUUUUGGGCAAUGGGCGAAAGCCUGACCCAGCAACGCCGCGUGAAGGAUGAAAUCCCUCGGGAUGUAAACUUCGCAAGAACGGGAAGAAUAAGUGAGGGUUAAUAUCCCUCACGAUGACAGUACUGUUUGUAAGCUCCGGCUAACUCCGUGCCAGCAGCCGCGGUAAUACGGGGGGAGCAAGCGUUGUUCGGAUUUACUGGGCGUAAAGGGCGCGUAGGCGGCCACUGCAAGUCAGUUGUGAAAUCUCCGGGCUUAACCCGGAAAGGUCAACUGAUACUGCAGGGCUAGAGUGCAGAAGGGGCAACUGGAAUUCUCGGUGUAGCGGUGAAAUGCGUAGAUAUCGAGAGGAACACCUGCGGCGAAGGCGGGUUGCUGGGCUGACACUGACGCUGAGGCGCGAAAGCCAGGGGAGCGAACGGGAUUAGAUACCCCGGUAGUCCUGGCCUUAAACGAUGAAUGCUUGGUGUCUGGGGUUUUAUAGUCCCCGGGUGCCGUCGCUAACGCUUUAAGCAUUCCGCCUGGGGAGUACGGUCGCAAGACUGAAACUCAAAGGAAUUGACGGGGACCCGCACAAGCGGUGGAGCAUGUGGUUUAAUUCGACGCAACGCGAAGAACCUUACCUGGGCUAGAAUGCCUCUGACCGGCGUAGAGAUACGCCUUCCUGGGUAAAACAAGGCAAAAUGCAAGGUGCUGCAUGGCUGUCCUCAACUCGUGUCCUGAGAAUUUUGGGUUAAUUC
rnacentral:rRNA from 1 species